rnacentral:tRNA from 1 species
GGGGUUGUGGCUCAGUGGUAGAGCGCUUGCCUAGCAUGUAUGAGGCACUGGGUUCAAUUCUCAGCAACACAU